rnacentral:rRNA from 1 species
UACGUAGGGGGCAAGCGUUGUCCGGAAUCAUUGGGCGUAAAGCGCGUGUAGGCGGCUCGAUAAGUCUGCUGUGAAAGUUCAGGGCUCAACCCUGAAAUGCCGGUGGAAACUGUCGAGCUAGAGUCCGGAAGAGGCGAGUGGAAUUCCUGGUGUAGCGGUGAAAUGCACAGAUAUCAGGAGGAACACCAAUGGCGAAGGCAGCUCGCUGGGACGGUACUGACGCUGAGACGCGAAAGCGUGGGGAGCAAACAGG